AUCUGUUUCGUUUUCUUCUUCUUUUUUCGCAUGUUGAACACAAUGGUGGACAAGAUGAACCUUUCUCCAUCGAACAGAUCGUAGGUGCUCAGAUGGCUUCUCAUGCAUAUUAGCUAAGAAAUCCACAUCAACAAACUUCAGGUCUAGGUACCUGAUUCAUUUUGAAGUCAUAGAACACACCGGAAAUCCUGCGCAUUUGACCCAUGGUUGAAACAAAUCGGUCGCCCAGCAGUCGACAUGGUUUCCUGUCAAAGCCAAAGACUAAUGCAAGAACAAGACAAAUAUUUGGAUCGUGCAACUGCUGAUCGGCUUAUGACCGAUGGUGGUUGGUACUACUGAGUAUGCAGCAACUGCACAAAAAAAAUUAUUGUCGAGAAGGCUGACCAAUGAUGCACCAACUGCGAAGCAAAGAUCGAUGUAGUGUACCCACACCUAGCCGUUGUUAUAAUAGACUUUUCAUCUAUCUUUCAGGAGGCAUAGAGCAGUGUAAACAGUAUUCAGUCUACUAACGGUGCCAUAAGGAAUUCAACUCUUGGUUGGAUGCCGGUCACCAUUUUUGUCUCCUUUGUAGUAGGAUUUGUGUAGUUUUGUGUUCUUAUUUGUAAACGAACUCUGAAUAUUGAUAUUUUACCA